UACAGACCCAGGUGCAGACAAACUGCUGCUGCAUUUAACAACCGAGGUGAGCUGUCAUUUAAGAUCUCUUGCUCUGAAAAUGAGAACGAAGACCGUGAUCCUGCUCAUUGCCCUUGUGGUCCUGCUCAAAGUGGUUUCCAAUGAUGCUGCAGACGAAGAAGAAUUCGAAGAAGAGUUUCAUGAACUUUUCUUUGAUCUUGACGAUGAGGCAGCUGCAGCUGCCAUCCUUCCGGGAGAAAACCGUUCCCAGGACUCAGACGAGAAAUGACAAGAGAAAGAAACUGGGUUCGAAAACUUUCUGCCAGUUUGAAAAGAACUUAAAUGAAUAAAGAUAAUAAAUAAAAUCA